UAGGUCCGAGCGUGGAUCGAACACGCGGCCUAGGGAUCUGCAAUCCCUCGCUCUACCGCUGAGCUAUCGAACCU
rnacentral:tRNA from 1 species